rnacentral:lncRNA from 1 species
CUGUCUUUGCUCGCUGCUGCCGGGCACAGAGCCAGAUCUGGUGCGAUACGCCAUCUGCAAGAGUUAAUGUUCCAUUAAAUUCAUAAUCUUAGAAAUACUCCAACAGAUGGGAACGCACAAGUUAAAUUCUCCAAUGCAACUCUUGCCGAUAAUGCAACACACGUCCUCAUAAGGCAGAUACACUCUUCCCAUUGUCAUCUUAGUUAGCAUUUAUCUUAGACCUGUACACGACUUCGG